CUGACCUCUUACUCUUCCUGCAUUUCUGGCUCUUGCUAUUAUUAACCCACUGUCCAAACCCAACAAAUAUUCACGGGGCAGGAGUGAGUGGAUCAGGCCAAGAAGCAUGGAUGGGAGAGGAGGGGAAAACAUCCUAAACAGGAACCACAGGCCUAUAUUACCAUGAGAGAACUGCAGCUUGAGAUCAACCCCAAACCACCUUGCACACCUACAAAACGGAUUUGAGGAUUAACACAACAAUCUGCACAACCUGAACCAAAGAACUCGACAGCAUUAUUCACAAUAGGCAAGACAUGGAAACAAACUAAUUAUCUGCCAGUAGAUGGAUGGAUAUAGAAAAUGUGUCAUUUGCAAGAACGUGGAAGAACCUGGAGGUCAUUAUACUAAGAG